rnacentral:rRNA from 1 species
CAGCAGCCGCGGUAAUACGUAGGUGGCAAGCGUUGUCCGGAAUCAUUGGGCGUAAAGAGCGCGUAGGUGGCUUGUCAGGUCUGGUGUGAAAUUUCGGGGCUCAACCCCGAACCUGCAUCGGAAACCGGCUUGCUAGAGUCUGGGAGAGGAGAGUGGAAUUCCUGGUGUAGCGGUGAAAUGCGUAGAUAUCAGGAGGAACACCGGUAGCGAAGGCGGCUCUCUGGAACAGUACUGACGCUGAGGCGCGAAAGCUAGGGGAGCGAACAGGAUUAGAUACCCUGGUAGUCCUAGCCGUAAACGAUGGACACUAGGUGUCGGGGGUGUCGACUCCCCCGGUGCCGAAGCUAACGCAUUAAGUGUCCCGCCUGGGGAGUACGGCCGCAAGGCUAAAACUCAAAGGAAUUGACGGGGGCCCGCACAAGCAGUGGAGCAUGUGGUUUAAUUCGACGCAACGCGAAGAACCUUACCUGGGCUUGACAUGUACGUGGUAGGAAUCUGAAAGGUGACCGACCCCUCGGGGAGCGUACACAGGUGGUGCAUGGCC